rnacentral:rRNA from 1 species
GACGAACGCUGGCGGCGUGCUUAACACAUGCAAGUCGCGCGGAGCGGCGAACGGGUGAGUAACGCGAGAGUAACUGCCCCCCUCUCUGGGAUAACAGUUGGAAACGGCUGCUAAUACCGGAUAGUGGUGGAUGACUCGCGUCCUAUCAGUUUGUUGGUGGGGUAAUGGCAUACCAAGGCGACGACGGGUAACCGUCCUGAGAGGGCGACCGGCCACCUGGGGCUGAGGUACGGCCCAAACUCCUACGGGAGGCAGCAGUGGGGAAUAUUGCACAGAGGGGGAAACCCUGAUGCGACAGCGCCGCGUGCGGGAUGACGGCCUUCGGGUUGUAAACCGCUUUCAGCCAUGACGCGGUAGUGGCAGAAGAAGCACCGGCUAACUACGUGCCAGCAGCCGCGGUAAUUC